GGAAUUCUAAGCUCAAAUCUGAUCUGACAGGCUGUUAUAAAGCUAUAUUUAUCCAGGUAUAACUUGAAUUAAGCCUUGAAGAGUGGAUUCAACUAGACAAAGGAGAGGAAGAUGUACCAUCUAGCUGGGGGUGCAAACAGCAUGAGAAACAGUUCAGAGAAAACAUUGUUAAAAGCUGUAAUCUCCAAUUAGGAAACAAUCUCUCCAAGAGUUACUCGGAGUGGCCUUGUUAGAUGAACGAGAGGUGGUAGGACCAAGCCUCCUUCUGAAUGGGCCUACCCAGGAGAAAAGAGCCAAAAAGCAUGCAAGAAGUCCCCUGGGUCCUUUGGACUCUAAAGUGUCAACACUCAAGUUGGAAGAAAAACACUGGCAUAAACAUGAAUGAAAGUUUGAAAUGGUCUAGAAAAUACCAAAGGGACAAGCUAAUGACCGAGCAACCAAGGGAGUGUAAAGAAAUGCUGUCCUGUGGCUCCGAUGCCCAGGACCCACAGAGGGGCACCAUGCCCUGUCCGUCCUCGAGCCCUGGCACUGCUUCCUGAGCCCUCUCACUCUGCCAGGUGUAUGGUGGGGGUCUGUCAUCUUGGUACUGAGUCUCUUAGAGGGAACACCCACCACACAGACUGCAGCCACAUCGGAAGUGCAACUGAUAAAGGCUCAUGCUCAUCUGGACUGGGCCUGCUACCGCGCGGGGCUGGGACCUUGUUAAGAAAGGCAGAGGAAGAGGAGAAGCAGGAAAAAGAGGAGGCGGAGAUUCUGCUAACUGGGCUCUGCCUUGCCCAGAAGAAAGCUGACCUGUCUUCAGAAUCAGCCCAAGGGAAGUCCUUCCAGGUCCCCCUGCCCUAUGUCCUUAGGGACCAGCCACACUCUGGCCACCUCUUCAUUUCUUCUGAGGAAUAACCAUGUGGAAUCACACAAGAGGCAAAGCAAACACUUGGGGGGUUUUCCCCUUCUUUACUAGGGUUAAAAUAGCGUUGAUUCCAGGACACAGGUAGAUGGUCUCCAAAGCUCCAGAUAAUUCAGGUCACUAGGCAACCAUACUUUCUGGUGUUGGAAGAGGAAAGGCAGAAAGAGGUUCUGAAGAAAGGAGACUGCAGUGGAGAAAGAAAGAAGGAAGGGAAGGCAGAAAGAGAAAUGGAAGGAGAGGAAGGGGAAGGAGGGAAUUUGUGCAGUGUUGAGCGGGAAAGGUGGCCUUGGGAUUACCAGUCAGGGUUGCUGACCCUAAAACAGGGUUUGGGAACUUUCCUAGUGGUCCAGCUAAGACUCCACGCUCCCAAUACA